CUACGUUAGAUGCACACAACGCAAUCUCUCACACAUUUUCUCUCUCGCUCAAACCUUCACAUGUGAGCAUGUUGCUCUUGCACCGCUAAAAGAAACGUAUUGCUCUUGCUUCCCUACAAAUAAAAUAUGUUACUCUUGCCCGAUCCCCUUUCUCCUUUCCUUCUUCUCUCCGCUCGCUCAUUCAAAAAUUCCUAUGACCGGAUGAGAUCCGACGGGUGAUGUGGGCUUGGAUCUUGUCUUCCGCUGCCAGCUUGAAUCCAUCUUGAGCGUGAGGAUGCGACAGCGUUGUCUUUCCCUAGCGCGCGAGCCGGACGCAUAGUCGUUGUUCCCAGUGGAGGCAGCCCGACACAUCGUCGUCAUCCUCCACAGCGGCUGCUUUGUUCGACCUACAGGUGGAAAGGCAACCUUUCGAUGCAGGGAUGUCAAAAGUGUAUUUUGAACUGAAAUAUUCUUCAACUCGCGUCAUUGCCUGAUAUGUACUUACUGGAGGUGGUCGUCUGAUUCCUCGAUGGAGCCGAUGACAAUUGAGGAGAGUCGACAAAGGAGAUUGGGGAUGACAAUCGAGGAGAGUCAAUAUAGGAGUUUGUGGUGCUAGCAACCGUUGGAGGAAGACGAUGUUGAUAGGGGGCUCUUAAGUCGAGAGGAAAGCUAAUUAAAAGAUAAAAAGAAGGUACUCCAAGACCCUGGGGAAUGUGAAAAGGAAUUCGAGCAUCCAUCGGCAUGUCCUUCUUUUCUGGUUAUACGGCGUACUACCUGUGUAACUAAAUAUAAAAUGUUUUUGCAGUUCAAAUUUGAACUCCAAAAACAUCUUAUAUUUAGUUAUGGAGGUAGUACAAUAGUGCACGCCGUCAUGUGCGUUGUCGACUCAGGUCUAUGUCUGCACUAAUUACCAUAGACCAGUCUUCACGGUGAGCUAAUCAGCCAUGAAGCCAUCUAAAUAAAGCUAAUCCAACAAUUUACCCCUAGCUUCCAGCUGCCCACUAAUCGAUUCUUGUACAAUGUCUCUGAAUUCUUACUGCCCAAUGGGUGACAUUCUCUUCUACAGUGGACAUGCAGUGCUAUCCAGAUCGAGCGCAACGUGUGGUGAAUGUGUGUAUAUGGAGAAAAAAAAUCAAGACUUGAACCACGUUCCUAGAAGGCAAGUAUUGGAUCAAUCUUGUAGGGUCUCAUGGUGCACGUGCGUACAUUGGGCAGAAAAAUUAGAACCUGAGAUACGUACCUAGCUCUUUGUUACUGCUUACUUGUAGGCAAGUCUUGGAUCGAUUUUGUAGGGUUUUGUCUUGCAUGUGUGUACAUGGGGCAUGCAGAUUAAAACCUGAGCCGAUGAUGGUAGGUAGAUCGGCCAUGGGCUGCGGAAUACGGCGGCUGCCUUAACCUUGUUGCUGAUGGUUGGUCGACCGGCCAUGGGCUCCGGAAUAUGGCGGCUGCAUUAAUCUUGAUUGAUCUUCAUAGAUAGGACCAAGCUAGGGCAUCCAAGAACAUGGUGGCAAUGUCGUUUGAGGAUGGAGAGCCCGCAACUUUGAUUGGCUUUUCUUUCUAUGUCGAUUGGCUGUUUGAGAUAGAAAAGUUGGGCAGCUACAUAAUUCCAUAGCAUGGUGGGUAAUUUUUUUCCAACUUCAAUCUAAUCUAAUGGUUGUGGUUUAUUGAUUUACUAAAUAGAUGGACAGAUGUUUCUAAUUUUUGUGAGAAUUUCUAGUAUAUAUCUUUUUUCUGGUUAA